GGGGUCGUUGACGGGGGCUGGGAGCUCGAGUUGGUUCACGGUUUGCCUUUUCAUCCUCCCUGCCUCACUCACGCCUCCCCUUUUCUCAUUGACGAGGGCUUCGGCUUGAGGGGCGCCACGAGGAGUGGAAGGCUGAGGUCGUUCGACGGCCGGAGCAGCAGAAGCAAGGACCAAUGGUGGUCAAUGGCUAACCUCUACCUCCUCUCUCUCUCUUUGUGGUUGAGAAGAAGGCCAAAUAGAAGAAGCAGAAUUUGGCGCAAAAGUCUUGCUGAGGUGCCCCAUCCAAGACCCAGAUUCUUCUGAGGUGACCCUAUUGCUCCCCUCAAACCUAGCACCUUUGAUGUUUUGUCAUCAUCAAUUUUGAUACAUACAGUUCUGGAAGCUUUAGGAUUGGUCAUUGCUUGUAACUGUUGUGCGUAACAUGACCUUGUUUAGUCUCUACAAUCUUCAUUCACACGUCUUUGAUGUUUAGUUUGCUAUUAGAUGAUCAAAAGCUAAAGAAUGGACACACAACCAGAAGUUUACAUAUUUUUUUUGCUGGUAAUGUGUCAUCGUCAUCUUUGUUAGCUAGACUUGUCGGUUGUCCUACUUAAUUCCCACCUUAUCAUGAUGCUCUUGAUUUUUAAUCAUGCUUGGAGCUUUGGUCUGCAGCCAUAUAAAAUCAUAUGCUUUGGCUCUAGAUUAGGGUAAUGUUGGAACUUGGGAGGGAGUAACUAAGCCAUACAUUUGGCUCUAGAUUUUCAGUUUGUAUUUGACGGAUGUAGAAACAGAUUUCUAUGAGAUAACGAGUUAACGACACACCACAUUCGGUUGACUGUUGAGGUGUAAAUGGCAUCAGAGUGCUGUAGUAUGCAGUAGCGACCGGCGAGGCAUCGGGAUGUGGCGAGGCAAGGCUGUGGAGUUCAUGAGUUUUCAGGCUGCACGGGAUGCAAGUUAAUGGAUAUUAGGAUGUACAAAUGACUGGUGCAUAAGCUCCUUCGACUAUUUGAUUAAAGAGAGGGCCUGGGUUGACGCUACCAAUAUAUGUGUUGACUACAGAGGCAUAUAAAUAAUAAUCGAUGCCCAAUUCCGUCUCUGUAUUUAAAGGAUGACUGCUUCAUAGGUGUGCUAUCAAAUUCUAUGUUGACUACAGAGGCAUAUAAAUAAUAAUCGAUGCCCAAUUCCGUCUCUGCAUUUAAAGGAUGACUGCUUCAUAGCAGGCUUGCCUUGUGAUCAAACCUGGCAAUGUGCAGCAUGGUGUGGUAUGCACUUCUUCGGUUAUUUGUAUUUCAUUGCCUCGUUAUUUUCUAGGGUUUUUCUUUUAAAUGAGGAGUAAUUCUAUUCCUGUAUGCUUUAAAUCGAUAGCAUGUGGAGAAUUUUUAUGGAAAUGAGGAGUAAUUUUAGGUUGCUACGCCAAUGUUCACAUGAACUUUAAGAUGUAGUAUAAAUUAUAUGUUCAGAUUUUCACAAUCUGCUAGCACCUAUGAUUUUGGGUUAAAAAGAAGUGUGCUAUCCAGACAGUACAAUGCGUGCUUGGGCCCUUUGUCCGUUUUAUGUGAAGAUUUAUUGUGAAAUUUGUCAUAGAUUAGAGAUCUAGAAAAUAUGUAUUGUGCCUUAAGCUUUCCUCGUCAUGCAUAUUGCUAUAUCUGAGCAGCUCCCUAGCGGGUUAUUGGAAGGAAAUAUGCUUUCAUAUGUGCACGGAUUUCUGGACCUUAUUUGCUUUUGUCAAUUUAGCCAUUAUUCACCCAUUUCCCUAAAUUUAUUGAUACUUUUAAUAUGUUACUGGUGUCAACAAAACAAUGUUGAGACUUAUAAUUGCUUGUCUAUCAGGAAAACAUAUUAUUAAGACGAUUCCAUAGAUAAUCAAUAAUGUGUAAAAACUCCAUUUGUGAAUAUUAUAUGCGAAAGAAAAUAUUGCUUUGUGAUGCUUAUGUCUCUAAGAAAUUCAGUGGGAAGAGGAUCUGGGCAGGGGGUUUGAUUUUUCUUUUCUGGUUUUGCAACAUGAUGCAACAUUGCUUCGUUCCCCCAUUUACCAUAUGCAAAUCUUGGUCUACAAUUUAUUUUAAUUGUUUUAAAACAUAUAAACGAUAUUUUUAAUACACAUUCCAUCCUUCUUUUGUUCUCUGAAUUGUUGUUUGUAACUCUGAGACUUUUGUGCACCGUCAUAUCCAUCACUGUGAAGGAUUAUGAUCAGCAGCUUCAUUAGGUCACUAAAUUUUAACUCACACAUUUCUAAACUGAAAUGAGCAAAUCCACUUGAGGUUGUCUAUUUCUGAAUUUAUGUUUUUGUAGUGUCAUGCCUUCAGUUUGUGUUGCAUAUAUAUGGGUGAACAAUGAAUGUCAAACAGGAAAAUUGCUCACCAAUCGUUACAUUCAGAACCAUGUGUACCGAAUCUUUCUUAGACAUCAUCUUUUAUAUGCAUCAUCAAGUUAUAGCGUAUGCCUGACCUUCACGUUUAUCUUUUCAUGGUCAUGAAAAACGUAAUGUGCAUUGGUUUCGUACAAGGCACUGCCAUGGCAUGGCGAGGCACCCACAAAGCACCGCUUGCUUCCAUUCUGAGGUGGACUAGCGCUUGGGUAGUCACGCGGAUCUCCAAACCAGCGCCCUCCCACGGCGCAGCUCCACCGUGUUGACCGGCGCUUCCUACACCAUGGAUCAAAUAAACAGCCGCCUCAGCAUAGCCAUCCACAAUGCUCUCCUGCCUCCGUUCCCCCUCAGAUUCUUAUAUAUCCACGAGGGGGACAUUUAUUAACAAAGAGUGUUACUCUUGGUGGCCGUAUUGAUCUCCCGUCCCAUGCCACCAUUGCGACCGAUGGCUCCACUUUGACUUUGUCAACUCCACUGACUAUCUCGACUACGUCAUAUUGCAACCCCGAUGCCCACUGGUUAUGCAGUAACAUGCUUCUGAACACCAGGUUGCAACUCCAGCUUCGCCGACGAACUUGCUCGCUGCUCUAGAAGGUAAAUCAUAUGCAUAGCCAUGGAAUGGCACAUACUGGCCUGAGGCUGUACAAAUUCAUCGCAAGGUCGGGUCAGUCCCAAAGUUCAAAGAGGAAAAAAUUCAUUUGGAAGCUGGAAAAUACAUUACUCGCGGCAAGCCUGGUGAGCACUACUUAGAUGAUUUCACUGCCCACUGUGUGUGGGAAAUACAGUUAAGCUGUAUAACAAAAAUAUUUGCAAUCUGCGAAAUAUCAUCAAAGACAAGAAAACACCCGACCAUUAUACUUUAGCACACACUUCUCUAAUAGAAGCCUCUUCCCGCACAUGGAUGCUGAUCAUGAUGAGCUACCAAUCAGUACAGGAGACGGGACCACCAGUGUCAUGGCCCUCUUUAUCAAGGGUGUCGACAACAGGGCUACACUCACAAAGAACUGGAGCAGCUUCCAUAAGGCAAACAUCAAGAAAGGGUGUGCAUAUGCUUUCGCCUUCAAGUGCGCGUCCAAGGGCCUCUGCAUGGUUGUUUAUUCAAUCUAAGCAGGUCACAAUAGUCCUUAGCUAUGUAACUUGGUAUUACUAUAAAUACCUAUUGAGACUUUUAUAUCUGGCAUCAUUUUGGAUCUUAUGUAAGAAAAUUAUGAUAAUCCUGCCCGUAUGACUAUCA